rnacentral:lncRNA from 1 species
CACCGCACCCAGCCCAGCUAUACUUUCUUACACCAAAGGAACAAAGGAUCAUACUGAAUGUUCUAUUACAUCUUCACAUUUUUUUCUCACACGGUCAUCAAAGGCUGUUCCUUUCUCCCCAGGACUGACAGGCUCCAACUACCCGGGACUCAGUAUUAGCCUUCGCCUCACUGGCUCCUCUGCACAAGAGGAGGCUUCCGGAGUAGCCCUCGGUGAAGCC